rnacentral:lncRNA from 1 species
GGGGCUGUGCAGAGGAGACAGGACACCCCUGAGAGGUAGAGCCAGGUGGGGCGGCCAGAAGGAGGGCAUGCAGACUACAAGGGGAAAUGGGGCACGGCCACAACACUCCCCGCUCUGUGCCUUGUCUGGUUCCACACACCCAGCCAUAAAGGACACAGCUCCUCUCAUUUUAAGAGCCCAUAUAAAGGCAGAAGGAAGUCACAUACACACACACACACACACACGCGCAUGCACACACGCGCGCACACACACCCACACACACUCAUGCACCAAAGCCCUCAACUCAGCAAGAAGCCUUGUCUUUUCAGAUGCCAAACACUGAGCAGGCUUUGUUCUCCACCCACAAACCAGAGGCUGUCUCAGCAGGAAGGAGUUGGAGUUGGAGAAAAAGGAGAAUUAAGAAUCUAUCUGGCGAUGUGGAUUAAAUAAACAACAAAUUGGCAGAUUGUUUUUAAAAGGUAACAUCCACUAUUGGCAAACAGACAUUUCUGAUACACUGCUUGUGGGAGGGUGAAUUGGUAUGACCUUUCUACAGGGCAAUCUGCAAUAGUAAUAAAAGGCUUAGGCCGGGCGGGGUGGCUCACGCCUGUAAUCCCAGCACUUUGGGAGGCUGAGGCGGGAGGAUCACCUGAGGUCAAGAGUUCAAGACCAGCCUGGCCAACAUGGCAAAACCUGGUCUCUACUAAAAAUACAAAAAAAAAAAAAAAAAUAGCUGGGUGUGGUGACAGGCGCCUGUAAUCCCAACUAUUCAGGAGGCUGAGGCAGGAGACUCGCUUGAACCCGGGAGGGGGAGGUUGCAGUGAGCUGAGAUCACUCCACUGUACUCCAGCCUGGAGACAAGAGCAAAACUCCAUCUCAAAAUAAAUAAAUAAAUACAAUUUUUAAAAAGCUUAAAAUAUACACUCCUUUUGAUGGCAAUUCUAUUUCUAGGCUUUCAACCUAAUGACAUAUUGAAAGACUCCUUAAUAUGAACAUGCCUAACUUCAUGCUACUCGUGUGUGCAUCACCCCAUUUGAAGGUAAUGAGGAGUUUUCAAUGGCAUUCUUGAACCACACUCUGUACGGACAGCCGGGACUGAAGCUUACCCCCACCUUCCAGAGGGUGUGUGUUGAGUGUAACUUGUGCACAGAAACACACACGCUUUCUCCCUCUAGCCAAGCUCAAAUUAACCAAGAGCCUAGGAAUGUAACUCUUGUUCCAGAAUUCAAUCAGCCAUCUCCCUUCUUUUAAGUGUUUGGCUUCUGUUGAGAAAAAGAUUUAAGGCAAACCUAAUCCUGACCCGUUUCAGGAACUUGACUAUGGAUCAUAUAAUCCCCCAAAUCCACCUCUUCCUACAUGAGAGAGGUUUCUAAUCCUUGUUAGAAGGAACCUCUCACCCAGAGAGCUGGCUUGGUACAGUCAACCCUUGAAUUUCCACAAAAAAAAUUGAGGGUGAAGGCGAGGAAAAAAAGAGGCAUGUGUUCAUGAUGGGGAAGAGCAGCAGAGAUAAAAAUGUGCACUGUUCAGUUUUGUUUUGGGUUAUUUGCUGGGCUGUUUAAAGUGCCAGGUCUGGCUCUUAUACAAGUCUCAGCUCCAAUAAGCUGGCUGCAGGGGAGACUUCUUGUUACAAUUAUCCUCUAAGCAUAGCUAAGUCAUAAAAUCCAGGACUUUUCUGAUGUGAAAUGUGCAGGCUUUAAAAAUCAGUGUCACUGUCAACUGCUGCUGCCAGCAAAAUAAGUGAUUCACAUUGUGGCAGAAAACUCCCCCAGAGUGAAAGCUAAUGAGAACACAUACGGAGACUUCUGGAUGUCCAGUCGGAACCCCACACAACGGCAGCAUGGGGGCUGGCAUUUCAAAGGUCAGAAAUCAAACAGGGCUGAAAUCAAGGGGGAGAGAAUUCUCAGAAAAGACAUAGACUUGGCAAGGACUUCAUGGGCAAAGAAAUUCUCAUUGCAAACUCCCGUAAGAUAGCUUUGGUCCCUGCAACUUCUGAAUAAAGGUCUCCGUGAAACUGUCCCUGACCACUCCAUUUAAAAUUACAACCUUUCCCAAUCCCUAUCCUCUUGCUUUUUAAAUUUUUCUCCAGAGCAUUUACCAUCAGGUAAUAAACUAUAUGCUUUACUUAUUACUCUUUCCCCACCAGAAUGUAAGCUACAUGAUGGCUGGAAAUUACUUUUUGUCUGUUUUCCUCUCUGCACUAGGUGCUUAGCAUAUGCUGGGUGCAAAGUAUUUGUUGAAAGAAUGAACAUGUGUAUAAAAAUAGCCCCACAACAGCCCCUUGUGGUGAGGACUGUCAUCACCAUUUUACAGAUAAGAAAAUGGGAGAGCAGAGAUUUAAGUCUCAUGCUUUAGACCAGGGCUUCUUAAAUAUGAACAGACAAAGGAAUCCCUGGGGAUCUUGCUGAAGUGAAGGCUCUGACUCAGCAGGCCUGGGUGGGGCCUUAGUUCUGCAUGACCAUGCCUCAACUUCCAGGUAGUGCUAGAGCUGCUGGACAGCUACGCACCCAGACAAAAGGAUGGCGCAAGACCCUGCAAGUGGCUAAAGGAAAUCAAAAUGUUUUAUCCCAAAAUAGAUUUCUUUGACAUCAUUUGAAAUGGCUGCUGCUGGGCCAGCAGACAGAAGUGGCCUUGCAAAACUGUCUCUUGUGGGGAAAUUUUGCAUCUGUAGAGAAUCUCCUUGAAUGCAGCCAGCCCUUCUCUUUCCAGGCCUUUCCCAGAUCUAGGACAGAUUGAGUCUGACACCUUUACAAGUCUGAAAAGAAAUUCACCAUCUAUUCUCUCUAGGAGUUAUGACCUG